AUGGAUGUUGAAAAUUGCAAUUGUCUAGGCUCAAGAAAUAACUGCAUUUGGUCAAGUUAUGAGAGAAUUGGCUAUGACCCUAUUGUAUGUGUCAAUGAAUUUAUGAGCAAAAUAAAUAUAGCAAGGUUGAAAAAACUGUGGAGGAAGAUCAAGAGGGAAAAAAAGAGAAAAAUGUGUAGAUCAUCUUCACCUGUGUUUCUAUAUGAUCCUAGCUCUUACUUACAAAAUUUUGAUAAUGGUUAUUCCAAUGAUGAUGAUUUUUCAAGGUCUUUCUCAGCGCGAUUUGCAACACCAUCCUCCAUGAUUUCUAAGAAGAAUAAUGCAGUGAUGGAUGAAAUAGAAAUAAUGGAGACAAUCGAUGAAUGCUAG